rnacentral:sRNA from 1 species
CUUUUUGUUUACUUUUCAGAGACUUAUAAGUAUCUUGAGCUUCAGAAAUCUCAUUUGAUAUAUUUUCUAAAAGCUCCAUUAAAUUUUCUUGUUCUUCUUCAUAUCGUGCAUUUGUUUCAGAUUGAUUUUUCUUACGUUCUUCUAAAACA